UUAGAGUUUGAUCCUGGCUCAGGACGACCUUUGGCGGCGUGCUUAACACAUGCAAGUCGAGCGAGGACAAGCGGCUUCGGUUGCUUGUUCGAGCGGCGGACGGGUGAGUAACGCGUGAACAAUCUGUCCCAGACAGGGGGAUACCAGAUGGAAACAUCUGCUAAUACCGCAUAAGACCACGAGACGGCAUCAUUUUGGGGUAAAAGGAGCAAUCCGGUUUGGGGUGAGUUCGCGUCCGAUUAGAUAGUUGGUGAGGUAACGGCCCACCAAGUCGACGAUCGGUAGCCGACCUGAGAGGGUGAUCGGCCACAUUGGAACUGAGACACUGUCCAGACUCCUACGGGAGGCUGCAGCCGAGAAUCUUCCGCAAUGGGCGAAAGCCUGACGGAGCGAUGCCGCGUGAGGGAAGGAGGCCUUCGGGUCGUAAACCUCUGUCACCCGGGACGAAUCAAGUGACGGUACCGGGAGAGGAAGCCACCGCUAACUACGUGCCACCACCCGCGGUAAUCCGUAGGGGGCAAGCGUUAUCCCGAUUUACCGGGGGGAAAAGGGCGCGUAGGGCGGGAAAACAAGUCAGGUGUAAAAUCUAUGGGCUUAACCCAUAAACUGCAUUUGAAACUGUAUCUCUUGAGUGCUGGAGAGGUAGAUGGAAUUCCUUGUGUAGCGGUGAAAUGCGUAGAUAUAAGGAAGAACACCAGUGGCGAAGGCGAUCUACUGGACAGUAACUGACGCUGAGGCGCGAAAGCGUGGGGAGCAAACAGGAUUAGAUACCCUGGUAGUCCACGCUGUAAACGAUGAAUACUAGGUGUAGGGGCGCAAGCCUCUGUGCCGGAGUAAACACAAUAAGCGUUCCACCUGGGGAGUACGGCCGCAAGGUUGAAACUCAAAGGAAUUGACGGGAGCCCGCACAAGCAGUGGAGUAUGUGGUUUAAUUCGACGCAACGCGAAGAACCUUACCAGGACUUGACAUCCCAGGAAUCCGAGAUAAUGAACGGAGUGCCCUUCGGGGAAUCUGGAGACAGGUGGUGCAUGGUUGUCAUCAGCUCGUGUCGUGAGAUGUUGGGUUAAGUCCCGCAACGAGCGCAACCCCUACGGUCAGUUACUACGAAAGAGGACUCUGGCCGGACUGCCGUUGACAAAACGGAGGAAGGCGGGGACGACGUCAAAUCAUCAUGCCCCUUACGUUCUGGGCUACACACGUACUACAAUGGCGUAAACAAAGAGAAGCGAAGUCGUGAGACGGAGCAAACCUCAUAAAAGACGUCCCAGUUCAGACUGCAGGCUGCAACCCGCCUGCACGAAGUUGGAAUUGCUAGUAAUCGCGGAUCAGAAUGCCGCGGUGAAUACGUUCCCGGGUCGUGCACUCACCGCCCGUCA
rnacentral:rRNA from 1 species